GGAAGCGGAAGUAGCGGUUGCGCGACUUUCGUGGCGGUCGCUCGAUACCUAUGGUCGGGCCAAUAACAGAGUUUUGAGAAGCCAGAGUUCGCGAGAAAAUGGAGGAUCACACGUAUUCAUCGGGCAACAGGGACGGAGAGCGCGAACGACGGCCACUGAACAAGAGGAGCGCGAAACAGAUCCACGACCAGCAGCGGCAGAGGACCAGGGUCUACAUCGGCGGCGCGCUGCGCCGGUGGAGGGCGCUCAUGAGGGACCGAGGGUUUCAGAGUCACGCGGAGGUCGCUGCUUUCCUGAUGGACAGCUACGAGAGAGAUCCUGCAACGUCAACUUAUAUCAAGAGGGAACAGGAGUGAUUGUUCCUGCAGUGACCAGUCAUCGAUGCUUCCGGUGGGACAGAAAGCAUCGGAGCCGACGUCACCAACACACUGGUAAAUAAAGCUGGUUCUGCUGAUUGCGAGCUGGAGACCGUUGAAGCUCUGUCGGAGCGGAGGACGCUGAACAAUCUCUAUCUAUGGAUUCUCUCCACCUCACGCUGGACACGACAGCGGAGCUCCUUCUCCAAAAGACUCAUUCAGCUUCACCGCCACAAGGAGCGUUACAGGAAAUCUUUCCUGCCACGAGACGUUAGACUGAACAACACCUCACCUCUGGACUCUGUUCAACACGAACACCGGCACCUUUGCACCUUCAUGUUACCAUGUUCUACUGCGCAUUACUGGUAAUUGAUUGCACGCUUGCACUAUUUUAUGUACAUUCUGUAUAUUUAUAAUCGUUAUUUUUUAACAAAUUUUUGCAAUUCUUAUAUUUUUAUAUAUAUAUUUUAUAUAUAUUUUGUAAGGUGUGUCGUGUGAUGGAUACUUGCUGCUGUAACACCGGAAUUUCCCAUUUAUCUAUCUUAUCCAUCUAGUCUGUUUUCUGGUGCAUUCAAUGUUUGAUUUCAAAAUAAAUAUCAGUGAAUAGUAAAUUAUCGCUGUUCCUUGUUAUGAAAAUACACAUAA